UCCGGAUUAGCUCAGUCGGUAGAGCACCUGACUGUUAAUCAGGCUGUCGCCAGUUCGAGUCUGGCAUCCGGAGUUC
rnacentral:tRNA from 1 species